rnacentral:rRNA from 1 species
GUGAGGAAUAUUGGUCAAUGGGCGAGAGCCUGAACCAGCCAAGUAGCGUGAAGGAUGAAGGCUCUAUGGGUCGUAAACUUCUUUUAUAUGGGAAUAAAGUAUUCCACGUGUGGAAUUUUGUAUGUACCAUAUGAAUAAGGAUCGGCUAACUCCGUGCCAGCAGCCGCGGUAAUACGGAGGAUCCGAGCGUUAUCCGGAUUUAUUGGGUUUAAAGGGAGCGUAGGUGGAUUGUUAAGUCAGUUGUGAAAGUUUGCGGCUCAACCGUAAAAUUGCAGUUGAAACUGGCAGUCUUGAGUACAGUAGAGGUGGGCGGAAUUCGUGGUGUAGCGGUGAAAUGCUUAGAUAUCACGAAGAACUCCGAUUGCGAAGGCAGCUCACUAGACUGUCACUGACACUGAUGCUCGAAAGUGUGGGUAUCAAACAGG